ACCCAGGCUCUCCGUACGCAGGGUCGUCUGCGCCCCUCUCUUGGGUCCCGGGACAUUUUUUGUUCCGGCGUGUUCCGCGAGCGUGCGGGCCGUCGGGUGCGGACUGAGGCGCGACACGCCGGUUUGAUGCGGCCCGUCCAUUCGCUUAAUUUCGCUCGUAAUCCCGGAGGGAGGCAUUGCGAUUGGCCGAGUCCCCCGUUGCCUGGGCAACCCCGUCAGGGAGGAGGGAAAGAGUGAAGCGCGCGAGGGGAAAUCAACGCUCUUUCUCUCUCUCUCUCUCUCUCCUCCCCCCCUUCUCGGUCUCUCUCUCUCGCUCCCUCAGUGGUUCACUCUGUAUCCCGUGCUCCUCUCUCUCUCUCUAUCUCUCCCUCCCUCCCUCUCUCCCCUCUUUUCCUCCAUAUGUGCAUAUUUCUCUGGACACUUCUUCAGUGCAGGCAGGAAGAGACGGAGGGAGCUGGAGAGAGCAGCUGUUGGGAAGCCCCUGGACAGGAAGACACUUUCAGUCCCUUGUCCUUUGUUCCUUCCCUCCCUGCUCCCUCCUUUUCUUUCCCUUUAACCCUCUUCUUUUGGCUCUUUCCCGUUCCCUCGCUCCGCUCUUUCGAAGUGCCCGUUUCAGAGUAAGAUGGGCUGUGGCAAUUCAUCUGCAACCAGCACCGCCGAGGGUCCAGCCGAAGCAUCCAAAGACGUAGGUGACUGGAGGUUCCCGUAGCCACAGGUUUUGGGUCCUCUGAAGCUCAGAGGUGCGCCCAGCGCCCAGUCCUUCACGUGUUCUCUGUCAGUGUCACCUCUCUGUACUGCACCCAACGGUCACUCGUCUGCCAUCUUCGUUCC